UUUAAACGAUAGAGACAUUUUAAGAGAUAUUUAGAAAGGUACUUUCUAUAAUUGAGAGAAUAGUCGAGAGUCGUUACAGAAUAUGAAAAUAGAUUUAAAAGAGAUAUUCAAACGAUAGAGAUAUUUUAAGAGAUAUUUAGAAAGGUACCUUCUAUAAUUGAGAGAACAGUCGAGAGCAGUCACAGAAUAUAAAAAGAAAUCUAAAGGAGAUAUUUAAACGAUAGAGACAUUUUAAGAGAUAUUUAGAAAGGUACCUUCUAUAAUUGAGAGAGUAGUCGAGAGUCGUCACAGAAUAUGAAAAUAGAUUUAAAAGAGAUAUUCAAACGAUAGAGAUAUUUUAAGAGAUAUUUAGAAAGGUACCUUCUAUAAUUGAGAGAGCAGUCGAGAGCAGUCACAGAAUAUAAAAAGAAAUCUAAAGGAGAUAUUUAAACGAUAGAGACAUUUUAAGAGAUAUUUAGAAAGGUACCUUCUAUAAUUGAGAGAGUAGUCGAGAGUCGUCACAGAAUAUGAAAAUAAAUUUAAAAGAGAUAUUCAAACGAUAGAGAUAUUUUAAGAGAUAUUUAGAAAGGUACCUUCUAUAAUUGAGAGAACAGUCGAGAGCAAUCACAGAAUAUAAAAAGAAAUCUAAAGGAGAUAUUUAAACGAUAGAGACAUUUUAAGAGAUAUUUAGAAAGGUACCUUCUAUAAUUGAGAGAGUAGUCGAGAGUCGUCACAGAAUAUGAAAAUAGAUUUAAAAGAGAUAUUCAAACGAUAGAGAUAUUUACAGAGAUAUUCAGAAAGGUACCUUCUAUAAUUGAGAGAACAGUCGAGAGCAGUCACAGAAUAUAAAAAGAAAUCUAAAGGAGAUAUUUAAACGAUAGAGACAUUUUAAGAGAUAUUUAGAAAGGUACCUUCUAUAAUUGAGAGAGUAGUCGAGAGUCGUCACAGAAUAUGAAAAUAAAUUUAAAAGAGAUAUUCAAACGAUAGAGAUAUUUUAAGAGAUAUUUAGAAAGGUACCUUCUAUAAUUGAGAGAACAGUCGAGAGCAGUCACAGAAUAUAAAAAGAAAUCUAAAGGAGAUAUUUAAACGAUAGAGACAUUUUAAGAGAUAUUUAGAAAGGUACCUUCUAUAAUUGAGAGAGUAGUCGAGAGUCGUCACAGAAUAUGAAAAUAAAUUUAAAAGAGAUAUUCAAACGAUAGAGAUAUUUUAAGAGAUAUUUAGAAAGGUACCUUCUAUAAUUGAGAGAGCAGUCGAGAGCAGUCACAGAAUAUAAAAAGAAAUCUAAAGGAGAUAUUUAAACGAUAGAGACAUUUUAAGAGAUAUUUAGAAAGGUACCUUCUAUAAUUGAGAGAGUAGUCGAGAGCAGUCACAGAAUAUAAAAAGAAAUCUAAAGGAGAUAUUUAAACGAUAGAGACACUUUAAGAGAUAUUUAGAAAGGUACCUUCUAUAAUUGAGAGAGUAGUCGAGAGUCGUCACAGAAUAUGAAAAUAGAUUUAAAAGAGAUAUUCAAACGAUAGAGAUAUUUUAAGAGAUAUUCAGAAAGGUACCUUCUAUAAUUGAGAGAGUAGUCGAGAGUCGUCACAGAAUAUGAAAAUAGAUUUAAAAGAGAUAUUCAAACGAUAGAGAUAUUUUAAGAGAUAUUUAGAAAGGUACCUUCUAUAAUUGAGAGAGCAGUCGAGAGCAGUCACAGAAUAUAAAAAGAAAUCUAAAGGAGAUAUUUAAACGAUAGAGACAUUUUAAGAGAUAUUUAGAAAGGUACCUUCUAUAAUUGAGAGAGUAGUCGAGAGUCGUCACAGAAUAUGAAAAUAGAUUUAAAAGAGAUAUUCAAACGAUAGAGAUAUUUUAAGAGAUAUUUAGAAAGGUACCUUCUAUAAUUGAGAGAGCAGUCGAGAGCAGUCACAGAAUAUAAAAAGAAAUCUAAAGGAGAUAUUUAAACGAUAGAGACAUUUUAAGAGAUAUUUAGAAAGGUACCUUCUAUAAUUGAGAGAGUAGUCGAGAGUCGUCACAGAAUAUGAAAAUAAAUUUAAAAGAGAUAUUCAAACGAUAGAGAUAUUUUAAGAGAUAUUUAGAAAGGUACCUUCUAUAAUUGAGAGAACAGUCGAGAGCAAUCACAGAAUAUAAAAAGAAAUCUAAAGGAGAUAUUUAAACGAUAGAGACAUUUUAAGAGAUAUUUAGAAAGGUACCUUCUAUAAUUGAGAGAGUAGUCGAGAGUCGUCACAGAAUAUGAAAAUAGAUUUAAAAGAGAUAUUCAAACGAUAGAGAUAUUUACAGAGAUAUUCAGAAAGGUACCUUCUAUAAUUGAGAGAACAGUCGAGAGCAGUCACAGAAUAUAAAAAGAAAUCUAAAGGAGAUAUUUAAACGAUAGAGACAUUUUAAGAGAUAUUUAGAAAGGUACCUUCUAUAAUUGAGAGAGUAGUCGAGAGUCGUCACAGAAUAUGAAAAUAGAUUUAAAAGAGAUAUUCAAACGAUAGAGAUAUUUUAAGAGAUAUUUAGAAAGGUACCUUCUAUAAUUGAGAGAGCAGUCGAGAGCAGUCACAGAAUAUAAAAAGAAAUCUAAAGGAGAUAUUUAAACGAUAGAGACAUUUUAAGAGAUAUUUAGAAAGGUACCUUCUAUAAUUGAGAGAGUAGUCGAGAGCAGUCACAGAAUAUAAAAAGAAAUCUAAAGGAGAUAUUUAAACGAUAGAGACAGUUUAAGAGAUAUUGAGAAAGGUACCUUCUAUAAUUGAGAGAGUAGUCGAGAGUCGUCACAGAAUAUGAAAAUAGAUUUAAAAGAGAUAUUCAAACGAUAGAGAUAUUUACAGAGAUAUUCAGAAAGGUACCUUCUAUAAUUGAGAGAACAGUCGAGAGCAGUCACAGAAUAUAAAAAGAAAUCUAAAGGAGAUAUUUAAACGAUAGAGACAUUUUAAGAGAUAUUUAGAAAGGUACCUUCUAUAAUUGAGAGAGCAGUCGAGAGCAGUCACA
rnacentral:lncRNA from 1 species